GAUGAAGAAGCAGCGAAAUGCGAUACGUAAUGUGAAUUGCAGAAUUCAGUGAAUCAUCGAAUCUUUGAACGCAUAUUGCGCUCUCUGGUAUUCCGGAGAGCAUGCUUGUUUGAGUAUCAGUAAACACCUCAACUUCCAUAUCUUUUUUGAAAUGGGAGUUGGACUUGAGUGAUCCCAACGCUUUUCCUCACCGAAAAGUGGCGGGUUACUUGAAAUGCAGGUGCAGCUGGACUUUUCUCUGAGCUAUAAGCAUAUCUAUUUAGUCUGCCUAAAAAACAGAUUAUUACCUUUGCUGCAGCUAACAUAAAGGAGAUUAGUUCUUGUGCUGACUGAUGCAGGAUUCACAAAGACAGGCUUCGGCCGACUUUGUAAACUCGAUCUCAAAUCAAGUAAGACUACCCGCUGAACUUAAGCAUAUCAAUAAGCGGAGGA
rnacentral:misc_RNA from 1 species